UACGAAGGGGGCUAGCGUUGCUCGGAAUCACUGGGCGUAAAGGGUGCGUAGGCGGAUCGAUCAGUCAGGGGUGAAAUCCCAGGGCUCAACCCUGGAACUGCCUUUGAUACUGUCGAUCUGGAGUAUGGAAGAGGUGAGUGGAAUUCCGAGUGUAGAGGUGAAAUUCGUAGAUAUUCGGAGGAACACCAGUGGCGAAGGCGGCUCACUGGUCCAUUACUGACGCUGAGGUGCGAAAGCGUGGGGAGCAAACAGG
rnacentral:rRNA from 1 species